rnacentral:rRNA from 1 species
UGAGCCAAGUUUAGGGUUUUCUCAAAACCCAAGCAGUAUUGAACUGAAGAGUUUGAUCAUGGCUCAGAUUGAACGCUGGCGGCAGGCCUAACACAUGCAAGUCGAGCGGAUGAAGGGAGCUUGCUCCUGGAUUCAGCGGCGGACGGGUGAGUAAUGCCUAGGAAUCUGCCUGGUAGUG